UUUCAGGUGAUCAAAAAAAAAAAAAACAACAUCGCAGGAGCAAAAAAUUUACAUCCAAGAGCAUUUCUUCUUGAUCUUGAACCCCAAGUUAUCAACAACAUCAUGAGUUCUUCAUAUGCUUUGUAUAUUCCGAAGAAUGUCUAUCAUCUUCUCGAACCAAGAUGAAAUCAGUGAUGUGGUUGGGUAGCCCUACAACUCCCUUCUAACACCCAGACGCUUGACAAUCUAUUUCGAUUGCGUUGUGGUGUUUGCAACACAGUAGAGAAUUUUAAUCAAAUCAACACUUUGGUGUUGACAAUUAUGUCGGUGAACACAAAAAAACUGUUACAUCCUUCGUGCAUUAAUAAUGUCAUUGGACAGACAUCUCCCCUUAUUCCUUUAAGCAGACUAUGAAUAUAUAAAAAUGAAAACCAGUUGAAGAACGUGGUGAGGUGUCUCCUGCAGUUAAAGAAUAUGAGUGUGUCUACUGGGCCCGAAAAGACAAAUCACCAUCACCUGUUACAUAUCGAUCUUAAAUAUCGAUUCAGGGUCGAACUCAAGUCCAUAUAUGGACUCCAGCGAAUUGGAGAACUUAAACUUGCCCAGUUCAUACCUUUUGGGACAACAAGCAUUCAAAAGACUCUCGCCCGCAGCAGUCCCUGUUCAGAUCAGUGGCAGAGUCGCUCCGGCUUGAUAUUGGGCAAUCACACAUCUGUUCGUUGUUCAAAUACGUCCUGAGCCAAUAAGACAAGCUGAAGAAAAGUUUGAGUAUUCUUUUUGAAUUAAUUCAAACGCGAGGAUGCCUUCAAAGAUGAUCUUUCUGAAUUCGAUGAUUCUGGAUAUGUUAUCGACUAUUUUUUGUAGGAGUAUGAGGCAGCUACACAGCCCAACUAUAUCCACAUGGCCAGAAAAAAGCCACAGGAGGAGAAAGUCUACUUUCUGAAUUGCACCCUAAGAAGUAUUUUUUUUUUAAAUUAAU